ACACACAGGUAGGCAAGCUGAGAAGGCUAAGGGGAGCGGGAUAACUCCUGUUAAGGAACUAGGCAAAUUAGCCCCGUAACUUAGGGAGAAGGGGUACUCUGGUUGGUUAAUAGCUGACUGGAGUCGCAGUGACAAGGCAGCGGCGACUGUUUACCAAAAACACAGGGCUCUGCGAAUUCGAUAAGAAGACGUAUAGGGUCUGACGCCUGCCCAGUGCUGGAAGGUUAAGGGGAAAGGUUAGCGCAAGCGAAGCUUUGAACCGAAGCCCCAGUAAACGGCGGCCGUAACAAUAACGGUCCUAAGGUAGCGAAAUUCCUUGUCGGGUAAGUUCCGACCUGCACGAAUGGCGUAACGAUCGCUGCACUGUCUCAACAGGAGACCCGGUGAAAUUUCAGUCUGGGUGAAGAUGCCCAGAACUCGCAACUAGACGGAAAGACCCCAUGGAGCUUUACUGUAGCUUGGUAUUGUGCUUUGUUGUAUGGUGUACAGGAUAGGUAGGAGGCAGAGAACCCGGUUCGCCAGGAUCGGGGGAGCCAACGGUGGGAUACUACCCUCUAUACAACGGAGUACUAACUUGUGGAUGUGGAGAGCAUCGCAAGGACAGUGCUAGGUGGGCAGUUUGACUGGGGCGGUCGCCUCCCAAAGAGUAACGGAGGCGCGCUAAGGUUGGCUCAGGUUGGUUGGAAAUCAACCAUAGAGUGUAAGGGCAAAAGCCAGCUUGACUGUGAGACUGACAGGUCGAACAGGAGGGAAACCUGGCCCUAGUGACCCUGCGGCCCUGAGUGGAAAGGCCGUUGAUCAGCGGAUAAAAGCUACCCUGGGGAUAACAGGCUUAUACUGCCCGAGAGUUCACAUCGACGGCAGUGUUUGGCACCUCGAUGUCGGCUCAUCGCAUCCUGGGGCUGGAGCAGGUCCCAAGGGUUAGGCUGUUCGCCUAUUAAAGCGGUACGUGAGCUGGGUUCAGAACGUCGUGUGACAGUUCGGUCCCUAUCUGUUGCGAGCGUAGGAGACUUGAGAAGGGUAGCCCCUAGUACGAGAGGACCGGGGUUAGUGGACCUCUGGUGAAUCAGUUGUCGUGCAAGCGGCAGUAGCUGAGUAGCUAAGUUCAUGAGUGAUAACCGCUGACAGCAUCUAAGCGGGAAGCACGCUUCAAGACUAGGUCUCUCAGGAUCGUUCGAGAAGAGGACGUAGAUAGGCUGGAGAUGUAAGCACCGUGAGGUGUUGAGUCGACCAGUACUAAUCAUCCGAUUCCUUUACCG
rnacentral:rRNA from 1 species